GAAUUAGUUUAUUUAUGUUUUUAGUUUUUGUUUAGUUUUAGAAAUAACUUUGUUUUUAGUAUAUUUUAGGGAAAUAAUUUGUUUUAUUAUGAUGUAAAGUACUGUGAAGGAAUAUUUUUGUUUAGUUAGAAGUAGUUUUAAUUUUAUGUACCUUUUGUAUCAGGGUUGAUUAAAUUAUUGUUAUUUAUAUAAUUUUCCCGAAACUAAAAGAGAUAAAAUUAAAUUUAAGUUAAUGUUCCAUAAUUAUUUAUAAUUUAAUUUUAGUAAUGAUAUGUUAUUCGUUUUUAGAUAUCUGGUUUUCUUAGAAGUGAAUUGAAUUCAGAUCUUUAUUUGUUAAUGAGGAAUUAAAUGGCUCAUAUUUUUUAGAGAUUAAUAUUUUUGGGGAUAAGCUCAGGAAUAGCUUUAUAGUUAAAUUAAGAUAGUUUGGUUUAUGUAGGCUUGAAAUUAGCCAUCAGUGAUUUUGUCAUAAAAUAUUCUAAUUUAUAAUUUAUUUAGUUUUACUUAAUUGUUUAUUUGGAUGGGUGAAUUAAUUGUUAAUUUAUUGUAAUAAUGAUUAAAUUAGUAGUUUUGAUAUUUAAAGUAUUGGAAUUCGGCAAAUUUUAUGCUUGCCUGUUUAACAAAAACAUGUCCUUUUGAUUAUUUAUAUAAGGUCUGACCUGCCCAAUGAGGGGUUUAAUGGCCGCGGUAUUUUAACCGUGCUAAGGUAGCAUAAUCAUUUGUCUUUUAAUUGAGGGCUGGUAUGAAAGGUUGGACAAAGUAUAAGCUUUCUUUAUUUUAAUAUUAUGAAUUUAAUUUUUUAGUUAAAAAGCUUAAAUUUGAUUGUUAGACGAGAAGACCCUAUAGAUCUUUAUAAUUUUAUUGAUUGAAUAAUUUAGGAGUUUAUUUACUUUUAUUGAUGGAAUUAUUUUGUUGGGGUGACUGUGGAACUUUAAUAGCUUCUAUUUAUUAAUUUCAUAAAUUAAUGUUUAGUUGAUCCAUAAGUUAUGAUUAUAAGAUUAAGUUACCUUAGGGAUAACAGCGUUAUUUUUUCGGAGAGUUCAUAUCGAUGAAGGAGUUUGCGACCUCGAUGUUGGAUUAAAAUAAGUAAUGGAUGCAGGAGUCUAUUAACUAGGUCUGUUCGACCUUUAAAUUUUUACAUGAUCUGAGUUCAGACCGGCGUGAGCCAGGUCAGUUUCUAUCUUCAAUAAUAUUACAUAUUUUAGUACGAAAGGACCAAGUAUGUGGAAUAUUUCUUAUAUUUUGAUUUAUAUUGCUA
rnacentral:rRNA from 1 species